GGUGAACAGUGAGCUUCCAAAAUGGUGAAUGGUGAAUGGUGAACGACAAGUACAAAGGCGACGACAAUAACACUGACAACAACGUCCUCAAAAGUGAAGGAAGUAAUAUUUCUACUAAAGGACAACCAAAACGGUUUUGUGUUGUUGGUUUUUGAACCAACAACAUUAGCGACAAAGCUAGUGUUUUUUCUUGUUGUUUGAAGCAACCACGAGAACAAAGAUUACUACAAUUGAGCGCUAUAGAAGUUAUUUCGUGUCGUUGAGGCCAAGAAAGCCCAGAAGGAGUGCGCCGAAUGAAGAAUGAAAGAGAAAACAAGUGUCCACACUUCAUUGUAGCCUCUGCUAUAGGAUGAGACAUAACAAAAGGUAUACAAAUAGAAAGAAAUCAGAAGAGAAGAACAAUUCUGACUAUGACAACACUGUCUGCAAGGUCUUUGCAGAAGCUUCAUUUCCAAACAACCUUCAUGAAGCAAACAAAAAUGCAGCAGGUCUCUUAAUGAAGUUUCUGCAUACUACCUGUUUCUGUACAGUGAGUAGAAUUCAGGUUUUGAUGAUGAAGUUUGGAUGAUAUAGAAUCCUGUUUUGCUGAUGGAAAAGGCUGCAAAGUGGACAAAAUGUGGUUUAUUUAGAAGUUUUGAUGAAGGGGAGGGCUUUUUUUUUAUUUUUUGAUGAUGGACGGAAUUGGUUCAUUUUAUGUAAAACAAACUUGAUGUCUGCACUUUGAAUCUUUUGCUGCGGAAAUUACAUGUGCUGGAAAUUACAUGUGAUGCAUUUUAUGUAAA